rnacentral:lncRNA from 9 species
GCCCGUCGGAUCACGAAUUAUCUCUACAAAUGGACUUUGCAAGUUUCAGGGGACCUGUACUUGUUUUUAGGUUAAUGUGUCAGUUUCAGAUGUUCCCUUAUGAGGAACAAAAAGCUCAACCAGGUUUAGCAGAUUCUAGAAGGUGGAUUUUUUUCCCCCUCUAUGCAGGGCUGUGGACAUGUGGCAAUUUCCCUGGCCGUUUAUGCAAGAGGUUCCAUUCUCCGAUCUUCCACACACCUGAGACCUCUGCUCUUGGGAUGACGGAGAGCGAGGGCUGGGGAGCUGCAGCUGGUAAAUCACUCGAAUCAUGCAAAGCCCGUCAGGACCCCUUAGAAAUACGGUGGGAUACAACGGGCUCCUGGAAUCCCACCGAAGUUCAACCCUGCAGGGACCCAAGCGCCUUCUUGUUUGAUGUGAACACAGGCUCUCUCUUUUGCCACGGCAACCUCGGAAAUCUGGAGCCAAUUGAAAGUGAAGCGAAUUUGGAGUGGAAAUCAAGCCACACUGGACAGGACAGCUGUGUCAGGGAGCUGCUGCCCGUCUCAUCACGGAGCCUGCAAGCCCCGUCAGAUGGGGGCACUUGCUUUGUCACCACGCUGCCCCGCUGCCCCGUAAUUGCGAUAGGCCCUUUUGUUAUUAAACAGACCCAGGCCAAACAAAAGGGAUACUGUUUCUUUUAUGAGUAAUGUGCUAACUCACCGCUGGAAAAAAAAAAAAAAAAAAAGUUCAGGUCCAG